UAUAAACACGCAUUGUGACAACAACAACAACAACAAAUAUGGCGGAGUCUGUAUUGUCAAACACAGAAGAAGAAGGAUACAACCAUAAAUAAACCAAGAAGUUUAUGAAGAAGGGAUCACUGGAUUUUGUCACUUUGGUACAAGAAACAGGAAAGGAUAUCAUAGACCACCUUACUUAUACGGAAGCAUAGGAGCUGUUGAAGGAAAUUGCUGCCAGACAGUCAGCAGUUAUCACUGACAGCCUGUCCUGGCCCAGCUUGGACCAUCCUCAAGCUAACCAUGAUGGUGUGUUUGCAAGAAUUGUCCAUUUGGUAGACCAUGAUGAAGACCAGCUUUGUUGUAGCAUGGCCUGACAAUACUGUACAAGCCAGAGACCAAAAAAGGGUUAAGUGGUGACUGAUCCUCUCAUCCUCCUUAUCCAGGAAACGUUUCGGAACAACGUGUUGGCACUGAAGAUGUGGAGGACACAGAUUGAUCUCAGUACAUCCUUUGGAUACAUGGACACCUUCAGAGGGACGACAACAAAACUGUACCUGCCUUUUUUUGAAAGGAAGUAGUUAAUAAAAUUAUUGUUAACAGCUUUUUUAGUCUUGUUGUUUAAGAAUGCUUUCAACAUUUAAGUGGAUAAACGGUUGUUUUAAAUUUGAAUCUUCAGUAAUGCAUUCUUUAUUAAAUGAUGUAAUCUUAUUUCUUUCAAUAUAGCGUAAAUAAUAAGAACAUAAUAAUCCUUUGUAUACAAAAUGAAAACCAAGUUUACUGUUCUAUUAAUCAUUAUUUAUUUAUCUUGUUCUUUUGUCAGAAAUAUUACAGGGGCAUACAUACAGUAUUCCUUAAAUAAAGGGGGCAGUUCUUAGAAAAUUAACAUGUAUUUUAGCAAUGCAUAUUCAAACUUUUUCCACAUUUAUAAUCAGCAACAAUAUUUAAGUAUUAUAAUGUAACACAAAUUAAUACUAUGAAUUUACUACUGAUUUUGCCGUGCCUGUCAUCAAAUAAACAUGUUUUACUGAAAGUUUCUUAAAAGAUGUUAUGUGGAAGACUUAAUCAAUCAUUUAAUAAAUAUUUGAGCCUCGCUCUGGGAAAAGGGGGUUUAAUGCAUGUACUUAAGGUUGUCCAAGAUUAGGCUGUGCAGACUGCACAGGCUAAUCAGGGGCAACACUUUCCGCC